GAGCUCAAGUUUCUCUUCAUUGUCGCAUAAAUCUUUCGCCUUUUACUAAAGAUUCCCGUGGAGGGGAGCUUUUGCGAGUGAUUUAGG
ensembl:snRNA U5 U5 spliceosomal RNA